UGGAAGGAUCAUUGUC
rnacentral:rRNA from 1 species